rnacentral:rRNA from 1 species
AGGAUUAACGCUGGCGGCGUGCCUAACACAUGCAAGUCGAACGAGGUAGCAAUACCUAGUGGCAGACGGGUGAGUAGCGCGUGGUCAACCUACCGUUGAGUGGGGGAUAACUAGCCGAAAGGUUAGCUAAUACCGCAUACGUCUCCGAGGGGCAUCCCUUGGUGAUAAAAAGGAGCAAUCCGCUCGAUGACGGGACCGCGUCCCAUUAGCUAGUUGGUGGGGUAACGGCCUACCAAGGCAUCGAUGGGUAGCUGGUUUGAGAGAGCGACCAGCCACACUGGGACUGAGAUACGGCCCAGACUCCUACGGGAGGCAGCAGUGAGGAAUUUUCCGCAAUGGGCGAAAGCCUGACGGAGCGACGCCGCGUGUGGGAAGAAGGCCUUCGGGUCGUAAACCACUGUCGAAGGGGAAGAUAAUGACGGUACCCUUGGAGGAAGCCCGGCUAACUACGCGCCAGCAGCCGC